CUUCACACUUAUUUAAUUCUAAUUUAUUGGGUAAUAAAACAUGUUCAUCUGAACUUUCUUUUGAUUGCACUGCAUGCAAACUUGGCAAAAGUAAAACUCUACCUUUUCCCUCUUAUGGAUCUCGUGCCUCACAAUGUUUUGAUAUUAUUCAUAGUGAUGUUUGGGGGAUUUCACCUAUUAUUUCUCAUGCAGGUUAUAAGUACUUUGUUACAUUUAUUGAUGACUUCAGUAGUUUUACUUGGGUUUAUUUUUUACGAGCCAAAUCAUAAGUUUUUUCAGUCUUUAAGCGUUUCCUGGCUCUUGUUGAGACUCAAUUUUCUAGCCUCAUUAAGAUCUUGCGAUCUGAUUUUGCGGAGGAAUAUAUGUCCAAUGAGUUUCAGAACUUUCUCCAAAGUAAGGGUACAUCUCUCAGCAUUCUUGUCCUUCGACACCACAGCAAAACAGUGUUGCUGAAAAAAAAGAAUCGUCACCUCCUGGAUAUGGUAAGAACACUCUUACUUGAAUCAUUGGUACCUUCUCGAUUCUGAUGUGAAGUACUUUCCACUUCGGUUCAUUUAAUUAAUCGUUUACCAUCUCCUACUUUAAAUCACGUUUCUCCAUUCUUUAAGCUGUUUAGAUAUUCAACUUCCUAUUUUGAUCUGCGUACAUUUGGUUGUGUUUGUUUUGUACAUCUUCCUACUCAUGAGCGAUAUAAACUUACUGCUCGGUCUGUUAAAUGUGCUUUCCUUGGUUAUGCUGUCUCUCAAAAAGGUUAUAUUUGCUAUGAUUCUCAUGCUAAACGUAUCCGCAUUUCUAGGAAUGUGAUUUUCUUUGAAAACCAAUAUUUUUUUCUGUCUCAUUCUGAGCUACCCCCUACAUCUUCAUCUAUCCUGCCUAACUUCUCUGAUUCCCCAGAUGUUAUAGCACGAUUUAAGCCAGGACUUGUGUAGGAACGACGUAAUCGUGGGUCUGAUCCUCUUGCUGAUGUGCCCCCUCCUGAUCUCGAACCGAAACCUGAUCCUCCUACAGUUCCCAUUUGUCUUCGUCGGUCUACUCGUCAUUCUCGCCCACCCGAUCGGUACGAUUUCUCAUCUCCUGUUUCUCUUGUAACUACUUUAUCUGCUAUUUCCAUUUCCACUUGUUACAAAUAGGCCAUGGAACAUGAGUGUUGACAAAAGGCAAUGCAAGCAGAACUUCAGGCCCUUGAGGAGAA
rnacentral:lncRNA from 1 species